AACGAACGCUGGCGGCGCGUUUUAAGCAUGCAAGUCGAACGGUAAUAGGGUGCUUGCACUCUAUGAGAGUGGCGAACGGGUGAGUAACACGUAGGUGAUCUAUCUUGGGGUUUAGGAUAGCCUGUGGAAACACAGGGUAAUACUGGAUACGACCUGUAGACUGAGGUUUACGGGGAAAGCCGCUUAGGCGGCGCCUUAAGGUGAGCCUGCGGCUCAUUAGUUAGUUGGUGGGGUAAUGGCCUACCAAGGCGACGAUGAGUAGCCGGCCUGAGAGGGUGAUCGGCCACACUGGAACUGAGACACGGUCCAGACACCUACGGGUGGCAG
rnacentral:rRNA from 1 species